rnacentral:rRNA from 1 species
UGGGGAACAUUGGACAAUGGGCGAAAGCCUGAUCCAGCAAUACCGAGUGAGUGAUGAAGGCCCUAGGGUUGUAAAGCUCUUUUAGCAAGGAAGAUAAUGACGUUACUUGCAGAAAAAGCCCCGGCUAACUCCGUGCCAGCAGCCGCGGUAAGACGGAGGGGGCUAGCGUUGUUCGGAAUUACUGGGCGUAAAGAGUGCGUAGGCGGUUUAGUAAGUUGGAAGUGAAAGCCCGGGGCUUAACCUCGGAAUUGCUUUCAAAACUACUAAUCUAGAGUGUAGUAGGGGAUGAUGGAAUUCCUAGUGUAGAGGUGAAAUUCUUAGAUAUUAGGAGGAACACCGGUGGCGAAGGCGGUCAUCUGGGCUACAACUGACGCUGAUGCACGAAAGCGUGGGGAGCAAACA